rnacentral:rRNA from 1 species
UGGGGAAUAUUGCACAAUGGGCGCAAGCCUGAUGCAGCGACGCCGCGUGAGGGAUGACGGCCUUCGGGUUGUAAACCUCUUUCAGCAGGGAAGAAGCGCAAGUGACGGUACCUGCAGAAGAAGCGCCGGCUAACUACGUGCCAGCAGCCGCGGUAAUACGUAGGGCGCAAGCGUUGUCCGGAAUUAUUGGGCGUAAAGAGCUCGUAGGCGGUUUGUCGCGUCGGCUGUGAAAACGCGAGGCUCAACCUCGCGCCUGCAGUGGGUACGGGCAGACUAGAGUGCGGUAGGGGAGACUGGAAUUCCUGGUGUAGCGGUGGAAUGCGCAGAUAUCAGGGGGAACACCGGUGGCGAAGGCGGGCCUCUGGGCCGUAACUGACGCUGAGGAGCGAAAGCAUGGGGAGCGAACA